UACUUAAAGUAUACAAUAGUUGUGGUCGUAUAAAUUAAAUCGUUAAUUUUAGGCGAUUCAAACAUUUUUUCAAUUUAAUUUAUCCAAAUUUUCGAUUCUAAAACAUAACAAAAAAAAAAUUACCGAAAUCGUUACAGUUAUAACUAAUCAACAUUUGAAUAAUUUAAAAUUAUAAAAUUACACGAUUUAAUGAUACCCUUGUACUCGAAUUGCAGGCGUGAUUGGAUUUAAGUGGGGUUUGAUAUUUGAGACUGCCACUUUUAAAUCCGCUUCGACAUUUAACUUGUUUUAUUAUCGCUAGUGUUGAAAAUGGCGUUUCGCAUAAAUAAGUUGAAGCGAAAUGACGUAAUAAUUUCCGAUUAAAUUGACAAAUAGCACAGAUACUGCGUGAUUCAAUAGAACUUACUGUCGUAGUAUUAAGAUAUUACGAUUGAUAUGGCCACCGGCGGUAUAAGAAAUAUUACGUUAAAUAAAAUAAUGUCUAUACAUAACUCUCAUGUUUGGUGUACAAAUAUUGGCGACCCCCCGCCUGUUAAAAUUUCACGACCCACUCAGGA